AAAAAGCUUAAAAAUUUGAGAAUUUUCAAUGAAAAAACCUUAGAAAGGGUUAUGCAUGCGUAAAGGAAUUUACAGCAACGUGAAAAACAAGAUUCAGACAUUAAUAAAUUCAUAAGCCACGGUGUCUGCGCUUUCAAGAUUCGGCAUCUGUUGAUCUCCAUGUUGUGAUAAAAUCAAUGAGUGGAAAUCUCACACGCACUUUUUAGUUCCGUAAUGUAAUCUAUUAUGAUGUCGCUGCUCAUUAGAAAUAGAAAACAAACUCGCAUGCAAAAAGCAUGUAAUUAUGUACCAUAGCCUUUUUACAAUAUUCAAUAUUCUCAAAUCUCUUUUCCGCGGACUGGAUAGAUUUCUCCGACCUUUUUUUUUGCUGAUGGCCGAAUCAUAUCACUUAUUUUAAAGAGAAAAACGGUACAGCAGUAUUUUAAAUAAUUUUAUGUUAUAAGAUUAAUAUAUGAAAUAAUUAUUUAAUAAUUAAUUUAAAAAUAAGCUAAUAAAAGUCUAAAAUGUUAAUAAAUUUAAAUAAUAUUAAUAUAAUAAUAACAAUAAUCUUUUAUAUAAUACAGUGCAUAUUACACCAAAUGAAAUAUUGCAUUAAAACUUACAUAAUGUACCCUAACUAAUGCAAUAUACUACAACGUAAUACGACUAAUGCAGCGUGCCAAAACACACUCUUAAUAUAGAAUGGUAUCUUUUAGAACAUGUAUUGCUUCAAAUGAGUUUUGUCAAACAAUUGGUUCACUGUAUUAUAAAUGUCUUGCAACACACGCUUUGCUUUAAAACAUGUAAAGUGACAAAAAGAACCCAUGAAGAUAAUAUAUAUAUAAUGAUCUCAUAAAUAGCUUCCAUGUACAUGAAGAUGAAAAAUUAUUCUCCAAAGAUUUAUGAAUAUUUAUAUAUUUUCAGCAAUGAUUUUGAAACCGCAUUAUCAGUUCUACAUUAGAUUUUUCUCCGGGAGAUAUUGGAAAAUUGGAAUUUGAUUUAGUCUAAAUCUAACUCUAUUCUGGAGUAAUAUAUGUGGAUAAUUUCAAAGGUUAAAUGGCUUCAUGCAUGACAUCUUUCGUGGCAAAAUCUUAAGCAAUUAGGUUUGGUGAUUGGUUCAACAGCUAUUUCAAGCGAGCUGCCAAUGAGAUUGGAUGUAGCAAAAAUGGUUGAAUUUUUUAAAAAUAAAAAUGGUUUGAUUUUUGAAUGAGAUUACUGUUUGAAGUGCCCAGCAAAAAAUUAAAUUAAAGUCAAAUAAGUCUCUUUGUUUUUCUAAUGGAAAGCUUUUUGACUUGAUGUUUACAAGUAAAAAUAUGUAAUCUAAAAUUUAUUUUCAUAUAAACUUCUUGAAAACUUAAAUGGUGUCCCCAUAUAAUUAUGUCUUACACCCUAUUGCAUGCGCACCGACCGUUUCUUUGGUGGAAAAGUGCUUGAGCGGUAUAGGCAAUUAUCAACCUGUCAUUUCACGAUUGACUUUUUACAACAACAAAACUCCAUAAUUUAAUUAUAUCCACUAUGCGAGUGGCGAACUGGCAAGCUAUUAUACGAUCAAGAUUAUUUCUCUCCGCUGUACUCCUCAUCCUCAAUUUUAUUUUCUCUUUGUUUAAUUUUUUUUUUUUUUAAUAUGUCGAUCUCCAAGUUUUGUUCUUGAUCCCUAAUUCAUUACAUAUUUAUAACCAAAAAAAAAACUGGGAAAAUCAAUUACACAUAAUAAAUUGAAGGUUAAGAAGUAAAAUUUGACGGAUCAAGAAAAAAAAAAAAAGCUUAAAAAUUUGAGAAUUUUCAAUGAAAAAACCUUAGAAAGGGUUAUGCAUGCGUAAAGGAAUUUACAGCAACGUGAAAAACAAGAUUCAGACAUUAAUAAAUUCAUAAGCCACGGUGUCUGCGCUUUCAAGAUUCGGCAUCUGUUGAUCUCCAUGUUGUGAUAAAAUCAAUGAGUGGAAAUCUCACACGCACUUUUUAGUUCCGUAAUGUAAUCUAUUAUGAUGUCGCUGCUCAUUAGAAAUAGAAAACAAACUCGCAU
rnacentral:lncRNA from 1 species